CGGACCGAGGAGAGCCGUGCUUACGGAUUUUGUCGGUAUUCUCUUUAGCUAGUCCUUUGUGAUUAAGGUAAAUCAUUAAUUCAUAAACAAAAGAAGGUCACUAGAGCUUUAAUUGACGUAAAAGACGUGGUGUAUCACGUAGCGAAGUAGGCUCGUACACUCGUACCGCUCUACUUAUCCACCGACUUCGUAGUUGGCCUUCUUUAGGAACUAGUCCUUCUCUUUCGAAGUUAGUUCUUGCAUAGUAGGUCAGUACGUUUCCCUUCUUCUUCGCCGUUGUUGGAGCAGCUCCUGCCAGCGUCUUCGUAGUCAGGAGGCCCGCGCCGCCUGUGGUGUCGGUGCUGUGCGGCGAGGAGGCUCGCCCGGAGCCGGGCCGAGAGGUGUCUCGUCGGCGUAGUGCGCCACCUCCACCGGGCGCGAGUUCAGGCUCGUUGCCGCCGCAGGAGCGCAUGCUCCAAACCACCGCGGACCUAGGAGAGGGACCGGGCCGCUCGGGAGCACAGGCGGCGGCUGCCGCCAUUAAAAGGGGAGUCCUUGGCGUGCUCUUCUUCUAACCCCGUUGGAAUAGGUAAGACCGCUAAAAGCCAAACCAAGAGGUUGAAGGAUCAUAAGUGUAUAAUCAUAGAUAUCAUGUAGAAGUCCGGUGUCUGAUAUGACAUGAAAUGCAGACACGUUGACCCUAAAGACUUUAUUAAAAAGUCCGGCAUUGUUGAUGUCUAAUGGGUUGUC
rnacentral:rRNA from 1 species